GACGAACGCUGGCGGCGUGCUUAACACAUGCAAGUCGAACGGAAAGGCCCUGCUUGCAGGGUACUCGAGUGGCGAACGGGUGAGUAACACGUGGGUGAUCUGCCCUGCACUUCGGGAUAAGCCUGGGAAACUGGGUCUAAUACCGGAUAGGAGCCAUUUUUAGUGUGAUGGUUGGAAAGUUUUUUCGGUGUAGGAUGAGCUCGCGGCCUAUCAGCUUGUUGGUGGGGUAAUGGCCUACCAAGGCGGCGACGGGUAGCCGGCCUGAGAGGGUGGACGGCCACAUUGGGACUGGGAUACGGCCCAGACUCCUACGGGAGGCAGUAGUGGGGAAUAUUGCACAAUGGGCGCAAGCCUGAUGCAGCGACGCCGCGUGGGGGAUGACGGCCUUCGGGUUGUAAACUCCUUUCGCUAGGGACGAAGCUUUUUGUGACGGUACCUAGAUAAGAAGCGCCGGCUAACUACGUG
rnacentral:rRNA from 1 species